rnacentral:rRNA from 1 species
GAUGAACGCUGGCGGCGUGCCUAAUACAUGCGAGUCGAGCGAACAGACGAGGAGCUUGCUCCUCUGACGUUAGCGGCGGACGGGUGAGUAACACGUGGAUAACCUACCUAUAAGACUGGGAUAACUUCGGGAAACCGGAGCUAAUACCGGAUAAUAUAUUGAACCGCAUGGUUCAAUAGUGAAAGACGGUUUUGCUGUCACUUAUAGAUGGAUCCGCGCCGCAUUAGCUAGUUGGUAAGGUAACGGCUUACCAAGGCAACGAUGCGUAGCCGACCUGAGAGGGUGAUCGGCCACACUGGAACUGAGACACGGUCCAGACUCCUACGGGAGGCAGCAGUAGGGAAUCUUCCGCAAUGGGCGAAAGCCUGACGGAGCAACGCCGCGUGAAUGAUGAAGGUCUUCGGAUCGUAAAACUCUGUUAUCAGGGAAGAACAAAUGUGUAAGUAACUAUGCACGUCUUGACGGUACCUAAUCAGAAAGCCACGGCUAACUACGUG